CAGCAGCCGCGGUAAUACGUAGGGGGCGAGCGUUGUCCGGAAUUAUUGGGCGUAAAGCGCGCGCAGGCGGUCCUCUAAGUCUGAUGUGAAAUCUUGCGGCUCAACCGCAAGCGGUCAUUGGAAACUGGGGGACUUGAGUGCAGGAGAGGAGAGUGGAAUUCCACGUGUAGCGGUGAAAUGCGUAGAGAUGUGGAGGAACACCAGUGGCGAGGGCGGCUCUCUGGCCUGUAACUGACGCUGAGGCGCGAAAGCGUGGGGAGCAAACAGGAUUAGACUACCGGGUAGUCCACGCCGUAAACGAUGAGUGCUAGGUGUUAGGGGUUUCGAUACCCUUAGUGCCGAAGUUAACACAUUAAGCACUCCGCCUGGGGAGUACGGCCGCAAGGCUGAAACUUAAAGGAAUUGGCGGG
rnacentral:rRNA from 1 species